ACAGCAAGUGGUGCUGUUUACGGUGUGAACAUUCACAGAACAUUAUAUGUUCGUGAAGGAAUUCGCUCCUGUAAUCCUACUGGAACACAUUGGAGAUCCAUUGCUGCUCCCAAGUUUGAUCACGUGUCAGCUAGCUUAUCUCAUGUAUUCGGAAUUGUCAAAAUGACAAAAUCUUUAAGUUUAAUGAACAAUGGCGUUUGAUCGCAGGCUCAUUGAAACAGAUUGAUCACGGUCUUUCUGUUGGUGUGUGGGGUGUGAACCGCCAUGACAAUAUUUACCGCCUUAAAGAAGAUUAUUCGUGGACUCAAAUUUCUGAAGCCUUAAACACGUUUCUGUUGGUGCAGCUGGUGUUUGGGGAGUAAAUAAACACGAUAACAUUUAUUAUAAUUUGGGGGGACAUUCUUGGAAACAAAUCUCAGGAAAGUUGAAACAAAUUGAUUCUGGUCCAGAAGGAAUUGUAUAUGGAGUGAACAGUAACGAUAACAUUUAUUGUCGUUUAGGAAUCUCAACUAAUAACCUCCAAGGAACAGGAUGGAAGCAAGUUCCUGGUGCAUUGAAAUACGUUAGUUGCGGUGCCUUGGGAUGCUGGGGUGUAAAUAGACAUAAUCAAAUUUGGUAUCGUUCUGGUGUAUCAACACAGAAUUGUGCUGGAACACGUUGGACUCGUAUCGGAGGAAGCCUUAAGCAAAUCGAGGCUGGAGAAGUUGGUGAUGUAUAUGGGUAAAUAAGUAACUCGUGGUCUACCGUCGAACUGGGUAUAACUACGGCAUCUCAAUGGGCUCAGGUUGGGAAGUUGCUUUGUCGUAUGCUUCAUUCGUGACCACUGGCCUGAAUAAUAAGUAUGUUUUGAUAAAUGGAGCAAUUUUUGAAUCCAAGGUAUGU